UACGUAGGGUCCGAGCGUUGUCCGGAAUUACUGGGCGUAAAGAGCUCGUAGGUGGUUUGUCGCGUUGUUCGUGAAAACUCACAGCUCAACUGUGGGCGUGCGGGCGAUACGGGCAGACUAGAGUACUGCAGGGGAGACUGGAAUUCCUGGUGUAGCGGUGAAAUGCGCAGAUAUCAGGAGGAACACCGGUGGCGAAGGCGGGUCUCUGGGCCAAUACUGACGCUGAGGAGCGAAAGCGUGGGGAGCGAACAGG
rnacentral:rRNA from 1 species